GACGGAGGGUGCAAGCGUUGUUCGGAAUUACUGGGCGUAAAGCGCGGGCAGGUGGCCUUUUAAGUCCUUUGUGAAAUUCCGGAGCUCAACUCCGGAUGUGCAUAGGAUACUGGAAGGCUAGAGACUGGUAGAGGCGAGCGGAAUUCCUGGUGUAGCGGUGGAAUGCGUAGAUAUCAGGAAGAACACCGGUGGCGAAGGCGGCUCGCUGGGCCAGUUCUGACACUCAUCCGACGAAAGCGUGGGGAGCAAACAGG
rnacentral:rRNA from 1 species